UACAGAGGUGGCAAGCGUUGCUCGGAAUUACUGGGCGUAAAGGGCGCGUAGGCGGCACUGUUAGUCAGGCGUGAAAGUCCUGGGCUCAACCUGGGAACUGCGCUUGAUACGGCAGAGCUAGAGGAUGGAAGAGGCUCGCGGAAUUCCCAGUGUAGAGGUGAAAUUCGUAGAUAUUGGGAAGAACACCGGUGGCGAAGGCGGCGAGCUGGUCCAUUACUGACGCUGAGGCGCGACAGCGUGGGGAGCAAACAGG
rnacentral:rRNA from 1 species